GGGAAUGUCAGGAAUCGAUGGCAUUACUUUUAUAAAAUUGCAAGCCGAGGAUGAUUCGUUACCUCGCUAAUCACCGAAUCAAAAUCAUAACUGCCAAUAGAACUUUGGCUCCCGCUUUCGCUUUUGCCUAAGCGGCAUCCUUUAUCGAUUGCUCAGCUCGAUAAAAGGGUGUCAUAAUUUGAGCUUACUCGUCUAAAUCGCCUAAUUUAAACGAGGACAUUUUACGGCAAAGAAUUUAGAUUCUUUUCUGGGUUGUAGGUCUAAGUUCUAAAUUCUAACCCAGAUAAGCUUGUAGAGAUUUUAUAAAGGUAUUGUCAGACGCGGGUUCAAUACCCGCCAUUUCCACAA
rnacentral:tmRNA from 1 species